rnacentral:rRNA from 1 species
UAGGGAAUCUUCCACAAUGGACGCAAGUCUGAUGGAGCAACGCCGCGUGAGUGAAGAAGGUUUUCGGAUCGUAAAGCUCUGUUGUUGGUGAAGAAGGAUAGAGGCAGUAACUGGUCUUUAUUUGACGGUAAUCAACCAGAAAGUCACGGCUAACUACGUGCCAGCAGCCGCGGUAAUACGUAGGUGGCAAGCGUUGUCCGGAUUUAUUGGGCGUAAAGCGAGCGCAGGCGGAAUGAUAAGUCUGAUGUGAAAGCCCACGGCUCAACCGUGGAACUGCAUCGGAAACUGACAUGCUUGAGUGCAGAAGAGGAGAGUGGAAUUCCAUGUGUAGCGGUGGAAUGCGUAGAUAUAUGGAAGAACACCAGUGGCGAAGGCGGCUCUCUGGUCUGCAACUGACGCUGAGGCUCGAAAGCAUGGGUAGCGAACAGG